rnacentral:misc_RNA from 1 species
UCUUCUUCUUCUUCUUCUUUUUCACUGAUUUCUAGGGUUCCUUCUGUGCUCUAGAUCUCUCAGCAACUGGAAUCACCUCUCUAUCGCUGUUGACUUUCUCUCAAAUAGGCGGUUCGACUCCGAUCACAGAUCUGAUUCGCCGAUUCUGAGCUCUCGAUCUCUUCCUCAACAUGGCGGCCGCUAACGCCCCAAUCGCUAUGAAGGAAGUCUUAACUUUGCCGAGCAUUGGGAUCAAUCCCCAGUUCAUCACUUUUACAAAUGUCACAAUGGAAUCGGACAAGUAUAUAUGUGUACGGGAAACUGCUCCGCAGAAUAGUGUUGUGAUUGUGGAUAUGAAUAUGCCAAUGCAGCCAUUGAGGCGGCCUAUUACUGCAGACUCGUCGCUCAUGAAUCCAAAUUCUAGAAUCCUUGCCUUGAAAGCCCAACUCCCAGGAACUACUCAGGAUCACCUCCAGAUAUUUAACAUUGAAAUGAAAGCAAAAAUGAAAUCACACCAGAUGCCUGAGCAGGUUGUCUUUUGGAAGUGGAUAACCACAAAGAUGUUAGGCUUGGUCACACAGACCUCAGUUUACCAUUGGUCAAUUGAAGGUGAUUCUGAACCUGUCAAGAUGUUUGAUAGAACAGCUAAUCUGGUGAACAAUCAGAUAAUUAACUACAGAUGUGACCCUUCAGAGAAGUGGUUGGUUCUGAUUGGUAUAGCUCCUGGUUCACCUGAGAGGCAACAACUGGUUAAAGGGAACAUGCAACUUUUCUCUGUGGAUCAGCAGCGUAGUCAAGCUCUUGAAGCUCAUGCUGCAUCAUUCGCCCAAUUUAAGGUUCCAGGAAAUGAGAAUCCUUCCAUUCUCAUUUCUUUUGCCACAAAAUCUUUCAAUGCUGGGCAGAUUACAUCGAAGUUGCAUGUCAUUGAACUUGGUGCUCAACCAGGGAAGCCAUCAUUUACGAAGAAACAGGCUGAUCUUUUCUUUCCUCCAGACUUUGCUGAUGACUUUCCUGUUGCAAUGCAGAUAUCCCACAAAUACAGUUUGAUUUAUGUGAUCACCAAGCUUGGGCUGCUAUUUGUUUAUGACUUGGAGACAGCUACUGCUGUAUACAGAAAUAGAAUCAGUCCCGAUCCAAUAUUUUUGACAGCUGAAGCUUCGUCGGUUGGGGGUUUUUAUGCCAUUAAUAGGCGGGGCCAGGUGUUGCUAGCGACUGUGAAUGAAGCAACAAUUGUACCUUUUGUUAGUAGCCAAUUGAAUAAUUUGGAGCUUGCUGUCAAUCUUGCCAAAAGAGGAAACCUUCCUGGUGCAGAGAAUUUGGUUGUCCAGCGUUUCCAAGAGCUGUUUGCUCAAACGAAGUAUAAAGAAGCAGCUGAGCUUGCUGCAGAGUCUCCACAAGGAAUUCUUCGAACACCCGACACAGUUGCCAAGUUUCAGAGUGUUCCUGUGCAAGCCGGGCAAACACCCCCUUUACUGCAGUACUUUGGGACACUUCUAACUAGAGGAAAGCUUAAUGCAUUUGAAUCAUUGGAAUUAUCACGCCUUGUUGUCAAUCAAAAUAAGAAGAAUCUUUUAGAGAAUUGGUUGGCAGAGGACAAGUUGGAGUGCAGUGAAGAACUUGGAGACCUUGUGAAGACUGUUGACAAUGACCUUGCGCUAAAAAUAUAUAUCAAAGCUAGAGCUACUCCAAAGGUUGUUGCGGCUUUUGCUGAGAGGAGGGAGUUUGACAAAAUUUUGAUUUACUCAAAGCAGGUUGGGUAUACCCCUGAUUAUUUGUUCCUUCUGCAAACAAUUCUCCGUUCGGAUCCUCAGGGAGCAGUGAAUUUUGCUUUGAUGAUGUCUCAAAUGGAGGGAGGUUGUCCUGUUGAUUACAAUACCAUCACUGAUCUGUUUCUUCAGAGAAACCUGAUUCGUGAGGCAACAGCUUUUCUGUUGGAUGUUUUGAAGCCAAAUUUACCUGAACAUGGUUUUCUGCAAACAAAGGUCCUAGAAAUCAAUUUGGUAACAUUUCCUAAUGUAGCUGAUGCUAUUCUAGCCAAUGGAAUGUUCAGCCACUAUGAUCGCCCUCGAAUUGCUCAACUUUGUGAAAAAGCCGGUCUAUACAUCCGAGCCCUGCAACAUUAUUCAGAGUUGCCAGAUAUUAAACGUGUCAUUGUUAAUACCCAUGCAAUAGAGCCUCAGGCACUUGUGGAGUUUUUUGGUACCCUAUCACGAGAAUGGGCUUUGGAGUGCAUGAAGGAUCUGUUGCUGGUGAAUCUAAGAGGCAACCUUCAGAUAAUUGUGCAGACUGCCAAGGAAUAUUGUGAGCAGUUGGGUGUUGAUGCGUGCAUAAAACUUUUUGAGCAAUUCAAGUCCUAUGAAGGGCUUUACUUUUUUCUUGGGUCAUAUUUGAGUUCAAGUGAGGAUCCUGAUAUACACUUCAAGUACAUUGAGGCAGCUGCUAAAACUGGACAAAUAAAGGAGGUUGAGCGUGUUACUAGAGAAUCAAAUUUUUAUGAUGCUGAAAAGACAAAAAACUUUCUGAUGGAGGCCAAACUUCCAGAUGCUAGGCCGCUGAUUAAUGUUUGUGAUCGUUUUGGUUUUGUGGCUGAUCUCACACACUACCUCUAUUCAAACAAUAUGCUUCGUUAUAUUGAAGGUUAUGUUCAGAAGGUGAACCCAGGUAAUGCACCUUUAGUUGUGGGGCAGUUGCUGGAUGAUGAGUGCCCUGAAGACUUCAUUAAGGGCCUGAUUCUUUCUGUUCGUUCUUUGCUUCCUGUUGAGCCCCUUGUGGAAGAAUGUGAGAAGAGAAAUCGACUUCGUUUGCUCACUCAGUUCUUGGAGCAUCUUGUAAGUGAGGGGAGCCAAGAUGUACAUGUCCACAAUGCUCUGGGUAAAAUUAUUAUUGAUAGCAAUAACAAUCCAGAGCACUUCCUCACUACCAACCCUUACUAUGAUUCCCGGGUUGUUGGCAAGUAUUGUGAGAAACGUGAUCCCACUCUGGCUGUUGUGGCUUACCGGAGAGGACAAUGUGAUGAUGAGCUGAUUAAUGUUACUAAUAAAAAUUCUUUGUUCAAAUUGCAAGCAAGGUAUGUGGUUGAAAGGAUGGAUGCUGAUCUUUGGGAGAAAGUUCUUAAUCCUGAGAAUGAAUAUAGAAGACAGCUCAUUGAUCAGGUUGUAUCUACUGCUUUGCCUGAAAGCAAGAGCCCUGAACAAGUUUCUGCAGCAGUUAAGGCUUUCAUGACUGCUGAUCUACCCCAUGAGUUAAUUGAGCUUCUUGAAAAGAUUGUGCUCCAAAACUCUGCAUUCAGUGGAAAUUUCAACCUGCAGAAUCUACUUAUCUUGACCGCCAUCAAGGCAGAUCCAUCUAGAGUUAUGGAUUACAUUAACAGAUUAGAUAAUUUUGAUGGACCUGCUGUUGGAGAAGUGGCUGUAGAAGCGCAGCUAUAUGAGGAAGCAUUUGCAAUUUUCAAGAAGUUCAACUUAAAUGUUCAGGCUGUAAAUGUCCUAUUGGACAAUAUUCAAAGCAUUGAUCGUGCAGUGGAGUUUGCAUUCCGAGUUGAAGAAGAUGCAGUUUGGAGUCAGGUGGCAAAGGCUCAACUCAGGGAGGGGCUGGUGAGUGAUGCAAUUGAGUCCUUUAUUCGUGCAGAUGAUGUUACUCAAUUCCUGGAGGUCAUUCGUGCUGCUGAGGAUGCAAAUGUCUAUCAUGACUUGGUGAGGUACCUCCUGAUGGUUAGGCAGAAGUCAAAAGAGCCGAAGGUGGACAGUGAGCUUAUCUUUGCAUAUGCAAAGAUUGAUAGGCUGAGUGACAUCGAGGAAUUCAUUCUCAUGCCAAAUGUUGCUAAUCUCCAAAAUGUGGGUGAUCGUUUGUUUGAUGAAGCUCUAUAUGAGGCUGCAAAAAUUAUAUUUGCAUUUAUAUCAAACUGGGGCAAGUUGGCUAGCACACUUGUGAAGCUGCAACAGUUCCAAGGUGCUGUUGAUGCAGCACGAAAAGCCAAUAGUGCAAAGACAUGGAAGGAAGUUUGCUUUGCUUGUGUUGAUGCUGAGGAGUUCCGUUUGGCUCAGAUCUGUGGCCUUAACAUUAUUAUUCAGGUGGAUGAUUUGGAAGAGGUCAGUGAAUAUUACCAGAACAGAGGAUACUUCAAUGAGUUAAUCUCUCUUAUGGAGAGUGGCUUAGGGUUAGAACGUGCACAUAUGGGCAUUUUCACGGAGUUGGGAGUGUUAUAUGCAAGAUAUCGUCCUGAGAAGCUUAUGGAACACAUUAAAUUGUUCUCAACCCGCCUCAAUAUUCCGAAGCUCAUACGGGCUUGUGAUGAACAACAGCAUUGGAAGGAACUUACCUAUUUGUACAUCCAAUAUGAUGAAUUUGAUAAUGCUGCAACCACCAUAAUGAACCAUUCCCCUGAGGCAUGGGAUCACAUGCAAUUUAAAGAUGUUGCUGUCAAGGUUGCAAAUGUGGAGCUAUAUUAUAAGGCGGUUCAUUUCUACCUGCAAGAGCACCCAGACCUUAUCAAUGAUCUUCUCAAUGUGCUGGCACUCCGUGUGGACCAUACCCGUGUUGUUGACAUUAUGCGGAAGGCUGGUCACCUUCUUCUAGUGAAGCCAUAUAUGGUUGCUGUUCAGAGCAAUAACGUGUCUGCUGUGAAUGAGGCUUUGAAUCAAAUUUAUGUAGAGGAGGAAGACUAUGAAAGAUUGCGUGAAUCAAUUGAUAUGCAUGACAACUUUGAUCAGAUUGGCCUUGCUCAGAAGAUUGAGAAACAUGAACUUCUUGAAAUGAGACGUGUUGCUGCAUACAUCUACAAGAAGGCAGGAAGAUGGAAGCAAUCCAUUGCAUUGUCAAAGAAAGACAACCUCUACAAAGAUGCUAUGGAGACGGCAUCACAAUCUGGAGACCGUGAACUUGCAGAAGGGUUGCUUGUUUAUUUCAUUGAACAGGGCAAGAAGGAAUGUUUUGCAUCAUGCCUCUUUGUUUGUUAUGAUUUGAUACGGGCAGAUGUUGCUCUUGAACUUGCCUGGAUGAAUAAUAUGGUUGACUUUGCCUUCCCGUACCUGCUGCAGUUUAUCCGUGAGUACACUGGCAAAGUUGAUGAACUUGUUAAGGACAAAAUUGAGGCUCAGAUUGAGGUCAAGGCUAAAGAGCAGGAAGAAAAAGAAGUUAUUGCUCAGCAGAACAUGUAUGCCCAGUUGCUUCCUCUUGCAUUGCCUGCACCUCCAAUGCCAGGCAUGGGUGGAGGUUUUGCGCCGCCACCACCAAUGGGUGGAAUGGGAAUGCCUCCAAUGCCACCUUUUGGCAUGCCGCCAAUGGGUAGCUAUUGAUAUGCUGGUGGCCUUUUUUGUAGAAUUUAGCUUUGAAUCAAAGUUGCUUAUGAAGGACAUGCAAGGUCGGGCUUUACCCUUUGGUGGUCUUUCGGUGCCUUCAUUCCUUUUUGUGUUUGUUUUGAUGGGAUGAAUGAAGGUCUAUUUGAAAUAAUGCCAUUUUUCAUUUUUAUGUUUAGGUGUGUGGAUAUGUGUUGUAAUAUUCUUUUGAUAGGGAGUCAUUUUUUGGCUGCUGUUAGUGGGGUGGCCGAGGAUUUCCUGUAUU